rnacentral:rRNA from 1 species
GUGAAGAUGCCGUAUACCCGCGGCUAGACGGAAAGACCCCGUGAACCUUUACUAUAGCUUGGCACUGAACAUUGACCCUGCAUGUGUAGGAUAGGUGGGAGACUAUGAAGAUGGGACGCCAGUCCUGAUGGAGUCGACCUUGAAAUACCACCCUUGCAGUGUUGAUGUUCUAACCUGGGUCCCUGAACGGGAUUAGGGACAGUGCCUGGUGGGUAGUUUGACUGGGGCGGUCUCCUCCUAAAGCGUAACGGAGGAGCACGAAGGUUGGCUAAGUACGGUCGGACAUCGUACGGUUAGUGUAAUGGCACAAGCCAGCUUA